GAUGAACGCUGGCGGCGUGCCUAAUACAUGCAAGUCGAGCGAACGGACGAGAAGCUUGCUUCUCUGAUGUUAGCGGCGGACGGGUGAGUAACACGUGGAUAACCUACCUAUAAGACUGGGAUAACUUCGGGAAACCGGAGCUAAUACCGGAUAAUAUUUUGAACCGCAUGGUUCAAAAGUGAAAGGCGGUCUUGCUGUCACUUAUAGAUGGAUCCGCGCUGCAUUAUCUAGUUGGUAAGGUAACGGCUUACCAAGGCAACGAUGCAUAGCCGACCUGAGAGGGUGAUCGGCCACACUGGAACUGAGACACGGUCCAGACUCCUACGGGAGGCAGCAGUAGGGAAUCUUCCGCAAUGGGCGAAAGCCUGACGGAGCAACGCCGCGUGAGUGAUGAAGGUCUUCGGAUCGUAAAACUCUGUUAUUAGGGAAGAACAUAUGUGUAAGUAACUGUGCACAUCUUGACGGUACCUAAUCAGAAAGCCACGGCUAACUACGUG
rnacentral:rRNA from 1 species